GCCAAAACGAGUACAACUUGUAACUUUGGUACAACUAGUGCAUUUUGGCGGCUACACAUGUGUCUUUUGGCGGCUACACGUGUCUAAUGUGGAUCACGUGUUUGUUGUGUUUGGUCCUUUUUUAUUUUUAUUUUUAUUUUUAUUUUUUAUUUUUAUUCUUCCGAUUUUUUUAAAAAAAUUCAAUUUUCAAAUUGAAAUUGAAAGAGGGAAUUGGG
rnacentral:lncRNA from 1 species